AGUGAACGCUGGCGGUAGGCCUAACACAUGCAAGUCGAACGGCAGCACAGUAAGAGCUUGCUCUUACGGGUGGCGAGUGGCGGACGGGUGAGGAAUACAUCGGAAUCUACUUUUUCGUGGGGGAUAACGUAGGGAAACUUACGCUAAUACCGCAUACGACCUACGGGUGAAAGCAGGGGAUCUUCGGACCUUGCGCGAUUGAAUGAGCCGAUGUCGGAUUAGCUAGUUGGCGGGGUAAAGGCCCACCAAGGCGACGAUCCGUAGCUGGUCUGAGAGGAUGAUCAGCCACACUGGAACUGAGACACGGUCCAGACUCCUGCGGGAGGCAGCAGUGGGGAAUAUUGGACAAUGGGCGCAAGCCUGAUCCAGCCAUACCGCGUGGGUGAAGAAGGCCUUCGGGUUGUAAAGCCCUUUUGUUGGGAAAGAAAAGCAGCAGGUUAAUACCCCGCUGUUCUGACGGUACCCAGAGAAUAAGCACCGGCUAACUUCGUG
rnacentral:rRNA from 1 species